UACGUAGGGUGCGAGCGUUGUUCGGAUUUACUGGGCGUAAAGGGUGCGUAGGCGGUGGGGUAAGUUUGAGGUGAAAGCUCCGGGCUCAACCCGGAAAAUGCCUUGAAAACUAUCCGGCUAGAGGGUUGGAGGGGAGACUGGAAUUCUCGGUGUAGCAGUGAAAUGCGUAGAUCUCGAGAGGAACACCAGUGGCGAAGGCGGGUCUCUGGACAACACCUGACGCUGAGGCACGAAAGCCAGGGGAGCAAACGGG
rnacentral:rRNA from 1 species